rnacentral:lncRNA from 1 species
UUUUCUGCCAGUUUUCAUCAGUAGGUUACCUGUUCAACCUACUCGUGUUUUCUUGCUUCCGCUUGUGUUUAGUAGCUCUGAAUACUUUGGGAUUAUUGUAUAUUAUGUGUAGAAUUUCUGAAGGAUGAUUAUGUGAUGUUCGGAAGUGUUGAAUUAAGAGUGUAAUAUGAAAUUUUCGAGUUAGGGUUGUCCAUCUGCAAGGGAGAUUUGCUUAAUCUUUUCAGUAAAAUUUUCCUUGGAGGUGGUUCCCGCACGACUUACUCCGGGUUUCAGGGUGAAAUUUAGGGUGGGUCAUGUCAUCUUAAACCCAGCAAGAGCCCAAGAAAAAUAAAUAGUAAAUUACUAUAAACAAUGAAAAAAAGAGAGAAUAAAAGUAUGAUUCCCUCGGAAAAGGUAUUAACUCUUGCAACAGUCCUAAUCGGUCUUUCUUGUAUUCUGGACUCGAAUCUACAACGCACUAGAACGCCCUUGUUGACGAUCCUUUACUCCGACAGCUUUAGCAAUCUUUCAAGUCUUGCACCCAUUUAUGUUCAACUUCUUAAACCCAGUAAACCAUUAUGAUACCAACUUUCUCUCUCAAGAGUUUCCAUCAACUGGUAAGAACUUGAACAAGAACAAAAAAAAAAUCGAUCAAUCAAAAACUCAAACAACAAAAAUAAUUAGAUUUGAUUAAUAGAUCUGCUAUAACUCCAUUCAAGGUUGGUGCUACAUUAUUAGAAGUAACCCAUUUGAAAGAAACCCAAUUGAGAGAAGACUCAGAAGAGUAUUGGUGAUGGAUUUGAACUUCAAUUUGGAAGAAACCGAUUUGAAGGAAACCAAGACUCAAGAGGGUGAUUUUGUACCCGUUCAACCUUUCUCAUCUGUGUGCAGAACUUGGACGAGGGGGAAUAUAGGGGUGAGAGACAUAUGGUGCUUCAAUGGGUGACAGAGAUGGAAGAACUACAUGAGCAGGAGUUGCAUGAGGUUGAGAGAGAGAGAGAGAGAGAGAGAGAGAGAGAGAGAGAGAGAGAGAGAGAGAGAGAGAGAG